ensembl:snRNA U6 U6 spliceosomal RNA
GGACUCACUUCAGCACAUGUAAUAAAAUUAGAAUGAUGGAGUGAAGAUUAGCGUGACAUCUGCACAAGGAUGACAUGCAAAUUUGUGAAGUGCUCCAUGCUUUG